UACAGAGGUCCCAAGCGUUGUUCGGAUUCACUGGGCGUAAAGGGUGCGCAGGUGGUCGGGUAAGUCUGAUGUGAAAUCCCGCAGCUUAACUGCGGAAUGGCAUUGGAUACUAUUCGGCUAGAGGGUUGGAGGGGGACUGGAAUUCUCGGUGUAGCAGUGGAAAUGCGUAGAUAUCAGGAGGAACACCGAUGGCGAAGGCAGGUCUCUGGGCCAUAACUGACGCUGAGAAGCGAAAGCAUGGGGAGCAAACAGG
rnacentral:rRNA from 1 species